rnacentral:rRNA from 1 species
GACGAACGCUGGCGGCGUGCCUAAUACAUGCAAGUCGAGCGAGGUCCAUCCGGUAGCAAUACUGGGGAAGACCUAGCGGCGAACGGGUGAGUAACACGUGAGAAGCCUGCCCCGACGUCUGGGAUAAGCCGAGGAAACUUGGUCUAAUACCGGAUGCAUUCCAAUGAUCGCAUGGUCGUUGGAAGAAAGAUUCAUUGCUUCGGGAGGGUCUCGCGGCCUAUCAGCUAGUUGGCGGGGUAACGGCCCACCAAGGCGUCGACGGGUGGCUGGUCUGAGAGGACGAUCAGCCACACUGGGACUGAGACACGGCCCAGACUCCUACGGGAGGCAGCAGUAGGGAAUCUUGCGCAAUGGGCGAAAGCCUGACGCAGCAACGCCGCGUGCGGGAUGAAGGCCUUCGGGUUGUAAACCGCUUUCAGUGGGGACGAAUUCAGACGGUACCCACAGAAGAAGCCCCGGCCAACUACGUGCCAGCCGCCGCGGUAAUAC